rnacentral:lncRNA from 1 species
AAUACAAAAAUCCCAUCACCACAUAAUACAUGAUGAAGAAUGCAACAACCCAAAACACAAGAAAACAGAUAGAAAGACAGAAGAAUUCUUACAAAUCUCUCUCUCUCUUUCUCACCCUUUUUCUUACUAUGACUAUGUGAAUCUUAUCUAUAGCUUCCAUUUGGAUUUAAAUUUUAAAGGAGAAGAAAGGAAAAUGAAAGGUUUGAGAGACAUAAAAUACAUUUAUGAAUUGACUCUAAAACUUUCUAUUUCUCUUAAUUCUCUACCAAAACUCAACUCGCAAAAUGAAUACUUAUAAUAAAAGGGUUCAGAAAACAACACUUCUCUUUGCCACAGCAUAGCUUCUACUUCUUGGAUAAGAAUCUGGCUUAAAAGUAACAACACCAUCAUAUGACAAAUCGAAAGGCAUAUCCUCAUCAAUCUUAGCCAUUCCAACACUACUAGACUUAGACAACCCAUUAGAACUUUUUUGUUGUUGUUCCUGUUUCAUAACCAAAUCCAUAUCAAAUCUACUUUCUAUAGUCCUAGCAGAUGCUGCUCUCAUAAGCUCAGCAAAAUCUUCAUUUUCCUCUGACCUUGUUGAUGUGGCUGUGCUAUAACUUCUAGGAAAAGAUGAGAACCCUCCAGCACCAUCCAUAGUGUUGCCAUAACUUAUGCUUUGGCCACAAUUUGUUAUGCUUCUAACAUACAUGUCCCUUGCUUUUACAAGAGCUCUUAUUGGUGAAACUAUGAUCCUAACCAAUAAGCUUUUGCUGUGACCCUUGGUCCUCAUAAUAAAAGGGUAUUAUUGUGUUGGUUUUUGUUGAUGAAUAAACUUGUAGUAUAAUUGUUCACACCAGAAAAAAUGGGUGCAUUAAUGGUUACAAACUUAUAAUGAUUGUCUAUGAUGUGAGUGGAAUAAAGAGGAUCUAAAAAAUGGUUUGGAAAGUUAUGAGAUAUAAGAAGAAGGUUGUUUUUGAAGACAAGUGGAAUUGGAGAAUUGAUUUUGUAGUUGUCAGCAAUGAAAGUUUGUGCUAUAUAUAUAUAUAUACAUAUAUCUAUAUAUAAAUGUAAUGAUAUUCUUGUAUAGUAUGGAAGAGGGAAGUUAUUCAUUAUAGAAAAAUUGUCAUAUAAUCCAUUAUGUAAAUAUAUCAUAUUAUUUUCUUUAUUUGUUAUUGAGGUAUUUCCUUAUAUUUUUAAUAAUAAAAAUGUUAUUUCAUUAUAUAUAAAAAGAUAAAAAUGUUUUUUCAUGUUUUUUUAAUAUUUUUGUAUAGAUUUAUCUCUUCAUCAAUGUUGAUGAUCCUUGUUCCAAAUAAAUGUGGAUAGGAAACUAUGAGCUCCAUGUGUACUUUUUCAUAGCACACCGGAUUUGUAAACUGUUGAAUUAAGGAUAAGAUAAGAAUAAUAACGCGGAACGUGGUGGCGUAAACUAUCACUACAAUGAUACUGUAUAGUUUAUAAUGUACCAAGUUGUUUAUAAAUAUUAUUUAAUUUUUUUAAAAAUGGACUAUUAGCAAAGUUGGUGGGGAAACUCCAAAAAAUGAAUGAGAAUUUAAAAACUAAUUAAUAAAUUAGUGUUGGAAGGUUAUGAGUGAAUAGAUUAUAACUUAAGUGGUGAAAGAUGUAUAAAAGUUUACAAGUUAUAUGAUUAAAUUUAAUUUGUUAUUAUUACAUGAUAAAUUAGUUAGUAUGAAUAAAACUCGCGUAGCCUUAAUUUAUGGGGUAUAAGAUAAGAAUUUAUAGAUUAAGUAAAUUAUUUAAACGUGUUUAUCUAUCAAUCAUCAUUUAAUAUCCUAUUUCUUAUCGAACAAGUUAAUUAACUAAGUCAUGUAUGAGAGCUUGCAAACUAAUAGUUCUUCUAUCAAUUUUAGUAUAUUAGUAUUUAUAAUGGGUGAGGCACAAACUAUCAAUCUUCUUUCUUCCAUCCUAACCAUCAAACCAUUAACUUUUUUUUUAUUUUUUAAAUUUAUUAUGGAUAAGACUCAAACUUAAAACAUUCUUUAGUUCUUGUAUUUUAUAUAUGUGAAGAUAGCUAAAAUUUAUAGUUAUGUAUGUGACUUAUUAAAUUAAAUUUAUUAAAGCCUUGGAACUACAAGCUUAGGUUGUUGAACAAUGUCUAACCGAGUCUUAUUCUCUAAUAAUAUCUUGGUAGGCGCUCAACGCUCCCAGGGACGUAGGCAUAAUUGGCCGAACCCCGUUAACAAAUUUUCUUGUUUAUUCUCUUCUAUUUAUUCUAUGCACAUUAUUUGAUUGCUUAUGGCCAACGCUGCGCAACGAUCGCUUCCGCUGCACCAACAACACUUAAUUGAGAUGUUUCUAUUUGGUGCUUAUAUCUAGUGCACAUUAUAAGAAGGGACAUGAGUCCAAUAUAUAACUUAACAUUGGUUACUUACUCUAUUCUAAUACUAGACAACAAUGUGAGACUAAUACGAUAACAUAUUUCAAGCAUUCCCAACAAUCUCCACCUUGAUUGAAAUAGAAGAAUAUAUCGUUCCUUAGGAAAUCUACACAAGAAUCUCCACCUUAGCGAAUAUAUGAUUUCACAUUGUUCAAUGUCUAAUUCUCUUUAACUGCUCCCCUCCAGCAUAGACCUUCCGAGUAUCCUUGACGAUGUUACCAAGAGCCUAGCUCUCUAAACUUGUAGUGUAGCUUCUCGUACCGCCAUCAAAUGGAACACGUCGCCUAGCCACCUAUUGCUAGGAAGUCUUUCGAUAUAUUGAACCUCUACACAAAAGUUCACCAACAAUCGUCCUCUUCAACACUUAGUAAAACUGAACCUUGAAGCUUCCAUGGAAAGACUCAACCGCUACCACCAUUGUCUAGUUCGACAAUCCUAGUUCAAAAGAACUAUCAUACUCCACCAUAAGGAAUAUACCCACAACACACACCUUGCGUCAAUGCUAACUAAUGUAUGUGUCACAUCCUUGCAUCCAAGUCAAUGCACAUGUCACACCUCUGCAUCUCUACCAAUGCUCGUGUUACAACUUGCAUCAAAGCCAAUGCCUAUGUCACACCUUAUAUCAAAGUCAGUCAUCGCCCUUGUGCUUUUGUGGAUGUGCUAAUAAUUAAUAUUUUUCACUAUGAUGUGUCACACAUGCCAUUACGAUAUUCUCUUUCUCAUCUCCAAUGAGAACAUUCUCUCAACAUCUAGAGAGAUAUUGUCAGCAUCUAACUCAACACUUUUGUCUCUAUUGACGCACCUUGUCUAGCCAUCACGCCGUCACCCUCUUUAGCCAUUAUCUGACGUAUGGGUUAAGAGUCAACUACUAAUUGGCUCUGAUAUCAAUUGUUGGUGCAGUGGAAGCGAUCGUUGUGCAACAUUGGCUACAAGCAAUCAAUUAAAGACAUAGAAUAAAUAGAAGAGAAGAAACAAUAGAAUUUGUUAACGGGGUUCGGCUAAUUGUGUCUACGUCCCCGAGAGCGCUGAGAGGUUACCAAGAUAUUAUUAGAGAAUAAGGAUUACAAACCCUAGCACAGCUAUGGGCUCACCUGCCCAUUGAAUGUUUCUAUUUGGUACUUAUAUCUGGUACACAUUAUAACAAGGGACCUGAGUCCAAUAUAACAUUAGUUACUUUACUCUAUUCCAAUACUAUACAAUAUGAGACUAAUACAAUAACAGAUUUCAAGUAUUCCCAUGGAGUGAUUUAUAGUUGUGACUAGCUCUUAAAUCUGGUCUAGUGCUAAAUUAAUAAUGAGUUUUUUUUGUUUGCUUUUUUAAUAGCGGAACAACACUAAAUGGGCAUUGGUAGAACAAAAGGAAAUCACUUUUAAAAGUUUAAGAUGAUAUAUUAAUUAAACAUACUGUUCACGUGAAUUAUUGGCAACCAAUAAUGCCAUGCCCACUACUGAUGAGAAGGGAAUAUCUUAAAAAUAUAUAAAGGAAAAACACAUAUCUCAUCAUCCUGUCGUGGAGGAAGACUAUAUGUUGAAGCACAAAGCGAUACAUUAUAAUCAUAAAUAUAGGGAAAGUAUAAAUAUAAUAAUAUACAUCAUAAACAAAUUAUUAAAGGAAUCAAUUUCUUUAGGUGUUUGAAUGUUCUCCAAACAAAUAUUGAUUCCAGAGUAAAAGGAAGAAACAAAUUCGAGUAUGAAACAUAAGAAAAGAGAAAUUAGACUAUUUACCAAAAACAAUAAAAAUUAAAAUUAAGAGAAAUUACAGUUUUCUCUUUUAAACAUUCAUCACUAACCACAUAAAACAAAAACAAUCAAACUUUUUUCACUAGGUAUCAUUUAUACUUUUAUAUGUAUCGAUGGCCAUAAUGCCCCACUUACCACAUAAAAUUAAACCUUAGUACAAAAGUUUUUUGUCACUAAACUUCCUAUAUAUUUGGUUUAAAUUAAAGUGAAAACACUAACUUUAAUAUUCCCAACUACACCAGAAAUCGCGGCUAAAUUGUAAUGAUGUGCAUCAAAAUCGCUGCUUAGUUUUGUUGUGCACACAUUUGCAAUUCAAAUAUUAUGCAUUAGUUACAGAUGAGUGAUAAUAUGAUACAUGUCACAAUUUUAAUGACUGAGAAAAUAUUUUAUCUCUUUAUAUAAUAAUAUUUUAUUCUCAAGUGAAAUUUGUAUUUUAGCUCUAGUUUUUGCUAAUUACUCGGAGUUUUAAGUAGUAACAUUUAAUUAAGUCAAUAAAAAACAUUUAAGUCAAUAAAAUAAAAUAUUCUCAAUUGGUUAGUGGCUAGUAGUAGUAGUUACACUAAAAACAUGUGGCAUGAGUUUCAUAUGCUAUGUUGUUGUAUGUAAAGGUGUCAAAAUGGACUAUCCGAAUAGGUUUGGGUUAGCCCAUGUUGGAUUUGGGCUAAAUCUAAUCGAGCUAAAAAGUCCGGAUACAAUUUAUGUAUAUCAAAUUGUAGCUAAACCUAUCAUAAACGAGUUGUGGGGUGUGGCAAGCUAGUCUGCAUAAUAUUAAAAAAUUAUUUAAAUUUUAACUUAUUUAAUAUAUACAAUUUGAUAUUAAUAUAUAACUUUUUUAACACACUUUCUAAGCCCAAUACAACUAAACUUAUAGAUCUAAUGUCUUGUAUUUGAGUUAAGACGUGAUCACAUGAAGUCUACAUAUAUAAUUUUUAAUAUAACUCAUUUAUUAAAUAUCUCAUUUUUAUUGGACUUCACUAUAAUAUAUAAACUUUUAGAUAUUAUCAAAAAUAUUAUAAUUUGAAUGUUUUUAUCAACACUUUUAUUAUGAACUAUUAUAUUAAAUUUGGUUGUGUGGAGUUCUCUAUCAGAAAAAAUUAUGUUGUCUUUUAGUUUUGUUGCAAAGGUUAUUUUCUUAUUAUGUUUUUGUUGUAAAAGUUAAAUCUAAUUAGAUACAUAAUUAAGAAAGGAAAAGUGAAAUCUAUAUGGUUUAAUGUCUUCUAAUUUGAUUUGAUACAUUAUUUUUAUUGGGCUUAAAAGGAUAGUAUGCAAAAUAGGAAAAUAAUAUAAUAUUUAACUUUAUAACAUUAUUGUAAUUUAUAAAUAUUUAUGUAAAUACAUAACUCUAUUUUUUAUUCAAAGUUCGUAACAUAAUAUUUAUUAUAUAUUUUUUAUUAUAGGUUGUUUUGUAAGAUAAUUUUUACCUAACGUUUAUUAUCAAGCCAAAGGUCCUAAAAAACAUUAAAAAAAAGCGAGUAGCCCAAAUCUGCUCGGUUAAGCCCGGCCCGAGCUCGGUUUUCAUAUAGCCCAGUUGGGCCGGCAAAAAAGCCCGGAUUCAAUUAAAACUGUUUUUAUUUGGCAAAUGAACUAAGGUGUAUUCUUACUUUUUAGUUCAUUUGUCAAGACUUUCAAAAGAAUCAUUUUAGAUCUUGAAAUCAAGUUUUAAGUGAUCAAACUAAAAUCGCAUUAAACAAUUUUUAAAGAAGUGAAAUUGCCAAAGUAAUAACUUAAACAUAAUUCAACAUAAUGAAACAAAAGUUACAAGAAAUAUUAGGAGCAUUAGUCAUCUUAAUCUAAAGAUUUAAGACACUUUACCAUACACAAAUGAGAAUGCAAAAUGAAUUUUUGCAUCUCAUUUGAUUACUCCUUCUCCUCUUGAAUUAAGGUAAUUUUAUUUAUAAUUUCUCUUCUUGCCUUUACCUCCACGAAUUUAAUUGCAGCCAAAAUUCAUAAUUAUGAAUGUAAAGUUCUUUUCUCAAAGUGAUAUUCUUUGACACCUUAGGCUGGAGGCGCGCCCAUAGUAUAUAUAAUCAAGGAUAGUGCAGCUAUAAAUUACACACAUUCAUGUUAUAGUAACUUUCAUAAUUUGGAAGCUUAUAUCUUAGAAGAAAUUGCACGACUCUAUGAAGAAAAUUAAACGAAGGACAUAAACACUAGGACACAUGAGGAGGCCCUAGUACGUACUAUUCGACAAACUUUCACAUGUUGGCAACUGAUACAGAUAUCAUCACAAAUUGAAUAAUUGUGAAUUGACAUAUUUGUCAUUAGAUUCAAACAACUACUAAGGUCAUCACCGACUAAUAAAAACGCCAAUUAUUGUACUACUUAUUGUUCUAGAAGAACUCAACAGAAAAUUUUCAUUUUUAUUGAGCUAUAAUAUAUAGUUGUAAUUAUUGUUUAGUCUCAUAUAUAAUCAUCGUAAACCAACUGGUAUUAGUUCAAGUGGUACAUGUUUGAUUCCCUUUAAGCAAGAACUCGGGUUCGAGUUUUGUAGAUAGAAAAAAAUACCUAUUAGAAGAGUUAGCCUCACAUACCUGUGAAUGUUUCCGGCUCGGUUAGGAUUGUUUCCAGUACGAUAAUACCUCUAAGAAACCAAAAAAAAAUAUAUAUCCAUUGUAUAAACUUGAGAGUUGUUUCCUUUUAACUAAUUAUUAGGUCAAAUUAACGUAAAUUAUUAUAAUUGUACAUACGCAGUAUAAUUCAGUGUAAUAAUUACAAACAACUUAGGUAUGAAUCAGAAUAUAUGAGUUGAACUCUCUUCUUUAUGGUACUCUCCGAUACUGAAAUACAAGGAAAACAUAUUAUUUUAAUAUUUUUUAUUAAAACAUAACUUAAAAUUAUAUUCAUCAAAUGUAAUUUUUGCCACAUAUUACAAUUCACAUUCAUUUAAAAUCUCUCGUAUUUCCGAAUAUUUGAUAUGGUUUGCAUUGGUCGUGAGAACUUCCCUCAUCAUAAUCUUUGAAAAUAAAAUAAAAAACAAAGGUGAACCAAACCUUUCAUUUGAUUUGUUAAUAUCGCGUGAAUCAUUGUUCUCUCAUACUCUUAGAAUAUUUGUAUUCACAUAGACAAAACACUCGUGGAAACAAAGGUUCAAUAUUUUUUCCAGUCAUGGACAAUAAAUAAAAGACAACAGAGAUUAGUCGAUGUCAUUUUCUGCUUAAUUAACAUUAAAUUAUAAUAUUAUAUUUUAAAUAAACAAAUCUCUAGUAAGACCUAGAAUAAUGAUGAUCUCACCGUAUGAAAAAUACAAGUCAUUAACGAUCUUCAAUUCUUUCAAANNNNNNNNNNNNNNNNNNNNNNNNNNNNNNNNNNNNNNNNNNNNNNNNNNNNNNNNNNNNNNNNNNNNNNNNNNNNNNNNNNNNNNNNNNNNNNNNNNNNUUAUUCUCAGAACAUUGAUAAGAGUCACAUUUUAAAAUAAAUAAUUUUUCAUAAGUUAAUCGAUAUACAUCAUGUAAGUAUGUAGUCCUAAAUCUAAAAUUUUAUGCAUAUGAAAAGUACAGAAUUUGAUAGAAUUUGUGUUUGGACAUGUAAUAAUACUCAAAUUAAACACAGAAUGCUACUUUCAAAAAAUAAUAUUUUAAAAAACAUUUCUAAAUCCAUUAAAAAAGAAAACAACUUACCAAAAACAAUGGAAAUACAAAAAUCCCAUCACCACAUAAUACAUGAUGAAGAAUGCAACAACCCAAAACACAAGAAAACAGAUAGAAAGACAGAAGAAUUCUUACAAAUCUCUCUCUCUCUUUCUCACCCUUUUUCUUACUAUGACUAUGUGAAUCUUAUCUAUAGCUUCCAUUUGGAUUUAAAUUUUAAAGGAGAAGAAAGGAAAAUGAAAGGUUUGAGAGACAUAAAAUACAUUUAUGAAUUGACUCUAAAACUUUCUAUUUCUCUUAAUUCUCUACCAAAACUCAACUCGCAAAAUGAAUACUUAUAAUAAAAGGGUUCAGAAAACAACACUUCUCUUUGCCACAGCAUAGCUUCUACUUCUUGGAUAAGAAU